UAAGGUUUUCUAAAACGCUGAUGGUUUUUCUCGCUCCCUGACGUGGGACUGCGUCCCGGUGGCUCCCUCUUUCCUGCGGCUCCCUCUUCCCUGCAGCGUGGGAUGGAAAUCUCCACGCUGAAUUCAGCUGAGGCCCCUCCAGACCCGAGGAAAGCAAAAGGUACCCCAAAGACAGAUGGUGACUGAGCUCAGGGCAACUGGCUCAUGACCAACCCCCAGCAAAUGGAAUAAAACUGAUAUCCUGCCUGCCUUGCUGGUAACUUCUUCAGAUUUGUCUGCUGGGAAACAACUGGAGGCUUCUGUGGAUGGAAUUAAAAACCGCCCUCCUAGAGACGUAAAAUGUGAUCUGGUCCAAACUCAUAAACUAAGACAUCCUGGGCAGGGACAUCCCUUUUGAGUCCCUCCAUCCCGCCCAUAAAACGGAGCCCGUUCCCCCAGCAUCUGCCUGCUGUUCCUCUCUCUAAGGACCCUCUUCCAGUGGCUGCAGUUUCAUUUCUUCUUCACUCUUUUAAUUUCUUUGCAGGGGAACAAUUUUCAAAAGCAAAAUUGUACAUAAGAGAGACGCUUGUGCCACGUUAAGGAGGAGAUUUUAAAUGCUCAACAGCCAGGAAAAUUCAGAGUUAAGGUUUCCACAGCAACUUCGGCUCUGCCCUCCCGCGCAUUACAAUAGGGGCUUUGGUGCCCAUUAUCACAGGACACUGGGCAACCCCAGCUGCUGUUCAGUAAUCCAUGACACAGAACUGACCGAGCUGGACCGUGGCAGGGGCAAGCAGCGUUUCGGGUGGGCAGCGGAGAGCACGGCAGCAGCGGGAGACACCGGAGCAUCACCCUAGAAACCAGGAAUGCGGGAGCCAGGGGGCAUCUUGAAGGCACUGAUCCAGCUGCUGGAGAGGAGAGGCUGUGCUGCAGCUUGGCGGGGCGGGGGAAGAGCUGGGGAAAGCAUGGGGAAAGCAGACUUGUCCGCUCUCCUCCUGGCCUCAACCCUGGCCGAAGGGCAGCUCCCCACCAGCCCCACGCGCCAGGGGAGAGCACCUGCCCGCAGCCGAGAGCCGAGUUCCCACCAGCCCUGCAAGCAUCGAGGGAAAAAACCUCCCCGUGGAUCAAAAGGCUGUGCAAGCCCGUUCUCGCCACCCCGCGCAUCUCCGUUUGAGAUAAAGACGGGCGGUUCGUCGGGCUCCCACCGUUUCCUCCCCUCGCCCUGUGAGAACUCGGCUCCUCCAGCACCCGGCUCCCCUCCCUGCCUUUAAAUCUAGCUGUACAAACUUGUGGUUGUUUGCUUAGCCUGUGCUCUUGGGCUAGAAACAGCAAUAAAUCCCCACACCGCCCUGCUCCUAAAAGCACAUAAAUCAAAUUGUGCUUUUUUUUAUAAUCCCCUUCCCUUUGAGACUGAUUAUUGAUCCCUAUAACUGUUGAAGAUUUAUUGCAUAAUAGUGAUCCAUCCUUGAUAACUGGAUAAUCUCCUAAGGGUUCAGGGGCUUUUGCCAUCAGUAGCUCAUGCAGAUGAAGCAAAGCUUCAUAAAUACAUUUUUUUUUUGCUUCUUUGCUGGAAUGGGCCCUCGCCAGUGAUCAGGUGCAGACUACAAAUAGCCUUCCAUGUCAUGUCAUAUAUGCACUGAACAAUGCCAUUGCAAUGCAUAUGCCCAAAGGGGCACAACUGAAACGACCAGCUAAGGAUUAUUUAUUUUCAGCUGUGGUUUUGCUUUCUCUUUUCCUGUUUUUUUCUUUUUCCCUCCCUAACUGUUUUGCUUUCUUGCGCUACACAAUGCAGAAGCGGUUUUGUUGCCUUGUUUUUAAAGGGAUUCUUUUUCCUGCUUCUUUUUUCUGUUCUCGAUGGGUAAUUAUACCCCUCUCCUCACCGAGGUAUCUGAAUGUCUUCCAGUGGUGCAUUAAAUAGUG